rnacentral:rRNA from 1 species
GGCGAACGGGUGAGUAACACGUGGGUGAUCUGCCCUGCACUUCGGGAUAAGCCUGGGAAACUGGGUCUAAUACCGGAUAGGAGCCAUUUUUAGUGUGAUGGUUGGAAAGUUUUUUCGGUGUAGGAUGAGCUCGCGGCCUAUCAGCUUGUUGGUGGGGUGAUGGCCUACCAAGGCGGCGACGGGUAGCCGGCCUGAGAGGGUGGACGGCCACAUUGGGACUGAGAUACGGCCCAG